rnacentral:tRNA from 1 species
GCGGAAAUAGCUCAGUUGGUAGAGCAUAACCUUGCCAAGGUUAGGGUCGCGAGUUCGAGUCUCGUUUUCCACU